rnacentral:lncRNA from 1 species
GAAAGGAGCAAGGCAAAACUCCCAUUACCAAGAUGUAGCUACCAAAGGACGGAGAUUUGGGAUCAGACAUUCAAUACCUUUACCCCAGCCCUUGAGGACAACUUCCUCCUAUGGGACUGAGGACUCUAAGAGGUCACCAGAGCUCCUCCAUUGCAUGGACUGUCUACUCUUCAUCCCUGCCCAGGAGCCCUCUGCCCUUAGAAGCCAAUCCACAAAGAACACUCAAAAUGCAUAAAAUCUCCUUAUGGCACUUAAAUGUUUAUGGGUAAUAAAAGGAGUCAUUCUUCUCUC